rnacentral:rRNA from 1 species
UACGGAGGGUGCAAGCGUUGUCCGGAAUCACUGGGCGUAAAGGGCGCGCAGGCGGCUCAUGAAGGCUGUGGUGAAAGUCCGGGGCUCAACCUCGGAUCGGCCGUGGCGACUCGUGGGCUGGAGCACUGUAGAGGCGGGUGGAAUUCCGGGUGUAGCGGUGGAAUGCGUAGAGAUCCGGAAGAACACCAGUGGCGAAGGCGGCCCGCUGGGCAGUGGCUGACGCUGAGGCGCGACAGCGUGGGGAGCAAACAGG